AUAAAAAUAAUGCAUUGUAUGCCGGAAGGGAUAAAUCUGGGGCUGAGUACAAGCAAAACAAGACCAAAGGAAGCUACCUGAGCAGGUAUUCCAGAUACUCAUGUCAUACACCAAGGUUGUACCAGUGCCCCUUUCUCUGUGACACAUCCAUCCACUGGAAACUUUCGUACAACUAGCUGAAAGAAGAGAAACAUCCUAUUUCAUGUCACUGGAGCCCUAAUGAUCGCAGCCAUUUCAGGAAAUGCCAUCAAUUACAGUGAGGAGCUCAUUCAGAAGUGAAAGAUGAGUUCCAUUCUCUGUUACUUAGAGGACAAUAGAUUAUAUUGGAUGUAGAUGAAGUUUGGGCAGAAUCAGGGAUCAAUGGCUCCAUCUAAAUUGUUGCACCAAAACACAGACAUACACCUGCUUUUAGAUUUGAAGAGUGAAUCCUCUCUGGAAAAUGUAGCAACUACUCAAAAAAGGUUGGAGGACCAACACUUCUAAGAAGCAGGAGCUGGAGGGAGGAUGGCAUUUCAAGAGGUGGCAAGUGGUCCUUCUUCACAGUCAUAUCUCUCAUUCUGCAAGCCAAAGACUCAAUCUGCAUAAUAUUCCAUGGUGUAUAUAUACCACAUUCUUUUCCCAGUCAUCAAUCACUGGACGCUUAAGUUGAGUAAUGGCUUUUUAUUGAGGGUAUUACAAAGCUCAAAUCUGAGAAAACCUUGUCUACCAUCAACCCUGACCUACAGAGGAGAGGCACCCCCAAGCUUAUUAGUGAUCCUGUCUCCGUCUUAUUGGCACAUCCUGAUGGCCUUGAUCUCUAGUUCUUCCUGUGGAGCAUAACCAUAUGGUUCUUUGCCAAGAUGUUAAGACCAAAGUCGGAGAGUGAACCCCAUGUCAAUGAAUUCUUGUUUUUCUGAUCUUACAUUCCAUCACUUUGAUCCAGUACUCUCAAAAUGCAAUCACAGUUGUACAUGUCUUCUCCUGUCAAUAAACGCUACCUUAGUACUGCA
rnacentral:lncRNA from 1 species